UAUGACUGAAGGGUCCUAGAGUUAGGCCGGUAUUCUCCUGAGAGUAUGAUGGAUGAAGGCAGAAAGGUAAAGAAGUUUGAGUGGGGCUUCCAUCCUGAGAUCAAACAACAAUUGUACAUAUUUGAGCUCAGCACUUACUCAACCAUUUAAGCCAAUACACCAGCUAGUGGAGAGGAACCUUUGCAUCUUUCGCCCAACAGUGGGGAAUCCUAGACCCCCCG
rnacentral:lncRNA from 1 species